rnacentral:rRNA from 1 species
GUAGGUGGCAAGCGUUGUCCGGAAUUAUUGGGCGUAAAGCGCGCGCAGGCGGUUCUUUAAGUCUGAUGUGAAAGCCCACGGCUCAACCGUGGAGGGUCAUUGGAAACUGGAGAACUUGAGUACAGAAGAGGAAAGCGGAAUUCCACGUGUAGCGGUGAAAUGCGUAGAGAUGUGGAGGAACACCAGUGGCGAAGGCGGCUUUCUGGUCUGUAACUGACGCUGAGGCGCGAAAGCGUGGGGAGCAAACAGGAUUAGAUACCCUGGUAGUCCACGCCGUAAACGAUGAGUGCUAAGUGUUAGGGGGUUUUCCGCCCCCCUUAGUGCUGCAGCUAACGCAUUAAGCACUCCGCCUGGGAUACGGCCGCAAGGCUG